rnacentral:rRNA from 1 species
UACGAAGGGGGCUAGCGUUGUUCGGAAUUACUGGUCGUAAAGCGCACGUAGGCGGGUUGUUAAGUCAGGGGUGAAAUCCUGGAGCUCAACUCCAGAACUGCCUUUGAUACUGGCAACCUAGAGACUGGAAGAGGUUAGUGGAAUUCCCAGUGUAGAGGUGAAAUUCGUAGAUAUUGGGAAGAACACCAGUGGCGAAGGCGGCUAACUGGUCCAGCACUGACGCUGAGGCGCGAAAGCCAGGGGAGCAAACGGG